UCCCAGGUACGCCUGUUAAGGGCAGGUGUAAUGUAUAAACCUUCACGGCAUUUCAAUAUUAAGGCUUCCGGCGUAACGUAUGAGCUAAUAAUUCAUGGCAGGUUAAACUUACGAGAAUGGUGCCGAAAAAGUUUAUAAAAAAUGCUUAAUUAAAAAAAAAUAUCACAGGGGGCAUUUAAUUGUAGCUCCGGAAAACGAGUGGCGCUGGAUCUGAACGUAAAUUUAAUGGGCGCAGAUUUAUCCAAGAGCUAAGCAGGAGCGCUAAUGACUUAAUUACCAGAGUUAUAAGCAGCACAUUUAAUAAGCACCGCGGGGAAACCUAAAUUUAGCGACUAGUGCCCUCAAACCAGCUAUGAUGUGAGGAAGAGAAGGAGGAGGUGGGGAAAAGAUGGAGAAAAGAACUAGAACAAAAACAGAAAUUAAAAGAAAAAAGAAAAAAUGAAGAGGAAGAAAGAAGAAAUAUAAUGUGAAGGAGGAGGAUGCGAUGAAGAAAAGAUGAGAAAAAGAAAAAGAAGAACAAGAGGAAGGACAAAAGAAAAUCAAGAUUAAAGAGAAGAAGAAGAAGAAGAAUUAAAAGAAGAAAAUAAGAGUAAAUUGGAGAGGAAGAAUGAAGAAACUAUUGGGAAAGAAAAACAAGGAAAAACAAACAAAUACAAUGCAGGAACAUGAAUAUGCAGAAAGAGAAAGAAGAGGAGGAAGAGGAUGAGAAGGCGAAGGAGAUGAGUGACAACCAAGGUAACAGGACUCGCGUAACUCAAUUAGCAUCACCCAUUUAUCCUAAUCACCACCCACCCACCCACCCCGCCCCUCCCAUCCGCAUCCGAAAGCACCCAAACAUCGGUAACACGCCUUUGAAAGUGUCGCAGAGGAGUGGCGGUGCGGACUAACAAUACGGAGGAGCAGGAGGAGGAGGAGGGGAAGGACCCGGAGUGGCGGCCGAGUGGAGGAGGAGAGGAAGAGGACCAGGAGGAGGAGGAGUAGAGGGGCUCAGUGGUAUGUUUGCGGGUGGAGCGAGCGGACGUGUUAGCUCCUAGCGCUCUCUAUUUCUCUCUCUCUUCCGCCCCUCUCACAAGCGAUCUCCGCAGCCAAGGGAAGGAGAGAGAGGGAAAGAGCCAGGCUGUCCGUUCAGGAAAGACUAUGUAGAUCCCUCAGAGGCGUCCCUUCGUCAGCCCAGGCCUCAAGGUGGGCAUGGCGACCCUCUCCUGUGGGCGCGUGAGUGAGAAGAAACUAACCUCACGCUCCUUUUCCUAACACGUGUGAUUGUGCUGGAGACCCUUACGAGUACGUGCUGUGUGCUUAACGUGUUCUGCUGUGUUCCCUUGUGCUGGGUGUCACGUACGGCAGCAGCAGGCAAGGGGAAUGUGACUAGUUGUGACAUAAAAUCUACCUGUGUUACCUGUUGAAAAAAGGUGAGUUAAGGUGACGAUUAGUGAGGAUACUGCUUCUUCCUGUUGUGUGCUAACCGUGUUCUACUGUGUUGUGGUUCUCGGCGUGUCACGUACGGCAACAGCAGACUAGGGAAAUGUAACUAGUGGGGAGAGAAAACCUACCUGUGUUACGUGACGAGUUGAGAAAGGUGAGACAAUUAAGGUGAGGACAGGUAAGACCACGAGGAAUGUACCCACCCUACCUGUACGCCCAACACUACUUCUGAUACAUGAAUUAGUGAGAUCAUUAUACGUGAGGGUAAGGAAAAAAGGUGAAUAAAUAUUGAUGCAUUGAAGGGAACAUCUUACAUGCGCCACCCGCUAUUAGUGAGUGCGCUAAUAACCAGUGAUCGCGGUGUUGUGCGUGGUGGUGAUUAAUGAGGUGUUGCACGUGAGCUGGUGGUGAUACAGUCCAUUGGUACAUAGUUGUCAUCACCACCACCACUGUCACCACCACCACCACCAUCAUUGCCCUACACUCUCAUUUAUCUCUCUCUCAACCGAUGAGAAAGUGUAGAAAGUUGAUCAAAAAGAAUGUAGAGAAGAAAAUAAUUGCUACUAGUCACCUUAACUGUAUACUAAUAGCACCUUAAACUACAACUACUACUACUACUACCACUACUACUACUACUACAGCUACUGCUACUACAACACUUAUAGUAGUGGUUUAGAAGAGACUGAAGACCUAAAGACAAACAGUGAAUGCAGUGAAAUACGAAACACGUCACCACCAGAAAUUAAAUGACGUGAAAAAAAGAAAAAAAACUAAAGCAAAAAAGAAGAGAAAAAUAAUAAUAUUCAAGAAUUAGCCGGACCGAUAAACUAUUAACCAUUGAGGAAUUAAAGAUAGUGACCGGGAGGAGGAGAAGGUCGAGGAGGAGAACACCAUCACCAACGCCACCAACAGCCCGGGCCUCGUCACCAUCAGCAGAAGACAAGAUGGAGGCGGAAACAGGCUCGAUCGGCGAACUUCAGAAGUACCACAGUCGUUUGCUCCGGUCCCGCAGACACACCCUCGCUAAUGUCCGGUACGUUUUCCUCACCUGUUCCCUGAUCACCUGUUGCCUGGGUUGUGUCAGGUGAAGGUGAGUAAUAUGAGCCCCUUCCUCUCCUCAGUACCUUUCUCCAUCCCUCCUCCUCCUUUUCCUCUCCCUUUCUGAUCCCAUUUUUUUAGCCUUUCCUCUCCCUUCCCCCUUCUCUCCU